rnacentral:rRNA from 1 species
UACAACGAAACUGCGAAUGGCUCGGUAAAACAGCAAUAAUUUAUUCGGGGGUAAUUGCUACUUGGAUAACCGUAGUAAAGCUAGAGCUAAUACGUGCUACAAAGGCGAGACUCGCUCUCGUGGUACUAAGUAUUAGGUACAACCCAAUUUUAUUGGUGAUUCAUACUUAUCUUCUGAUCGCACUCUGUGCGACGCCCCGAAUAAAUUUCUGACCUAUCAACUUCGAUGGUAAGGUAGUGUCUUACCAUGGUUGUGACGGGUAACGGACCGUGGGUGCGGGAUUCCGGAGAGGGAGCCUGAGAAACGGCUACCACAUCCAAGGAAGGCAGCAGGCGCGCAACUUACCCAAUCCGAACUUCGGGAGGUAGUGACAAAAAAUAUCAAUAGGGGGACCGAUGGUCUUCCUAAUUGGAAUGAAAACAAUCUAAACACCUUAUUAAGGAACCAGCAGAGGGCAAGUCUGGUGCCAGCAGCCGCGGUAAUUCCAGCUCUGUAAGCGUAUACCAAAGUUGUUGCAGUUAAAACGCUCGUAGUCGAACCUUGGCGUGAGUUACGGAGACUCCUACUGGACGUUGAAGUAACUCCGCCUUUGUGGAGGGGGGUGUGGUGGUACUUUAUUGUAUUGCUGCGCUUCCGCCACUGUUUACUGUGAAAAAAUUAGAGUGUUCAAAGCGAGCGUUUGCCAUGAAUACAUUAGCAUGGAAUAAUAGAAUAGGACCUGAUCCUGUUUUAUUGGUUUGUCUGUAUCAGGUAAUGAUUAACAGGGACGGUCGGGGGCAUUUGUAUUCCAGCGUUAGAGGUGAAAUUCUUGGAUCGCUGGAAGACAAACAGCUGCGAAAGCGUCUGCCAAGGACGUUUUCAUUGAUCAAGAACGAAAGUAAGGGGAUCGAAGACGAUCAGAUACCGUCGUAGUCUUUACUAUAAACGAUGAUGACUAAGGAUCAGCCGUGGCCUAUUGGUACGGUUGGCACUUUCCGGGAAACCAAAGUUUUUGAUUUCUGGGGGGAGUAUGGUCGCAAGUCUGAAACUUAAAGGAAUUGACGGAAGGGCAUCACCGGGUGUGGAGCCUGCGGCUUAAUUUGACUCAACACGGGAAAACUUACCAGGUCCAGACAUAGUAAGGAUUGACAGAUUGAGAGCUCUUUCUUGAUUCUAUGGUUGGUG